UUCCUGCUAUGGUGCUUAUCUGAAGAUAGUUUUAAUCCUCCUGAAGAACCUGAUAGCCAGAUACUUAUUCUUGAAGUACUAUUGUUACUAAGUCUCAGAUCUCUAGGAGGGUAUAAUUUUGUAACUCCAGAAUGCCCUGCACCAUUGCUGAAAAAUUUAGAAAACACUGUUUCUUCUUUGCAAGAAACAUGAGCUUUAAAUUGAAGAGGGUGGAGUCAGUAUGAUUUAGGAUGAAGUGCCGCCAUGCUGAACAUGAAGACAGGAAAUCACCCAGCUGCUCAAAUGAGUUACUCUCCAGGCUAGGAGGAAUGAAAUCAUAGAACUCAUAAAGAAAUUUCAAAUGGGGCUCUCUGGGGGAAAUCUUCAGAAAAAGGAGGUGCCAGAACAUUCAAGAUGAGUACAUGAAAUUCUGAAUUUUAAAUUUACAAGAGGUUAAAUUAUAAAAACUGCAGAUCACUGAGGCUUUAUGGCAAUCUUAGCAUAAUUCUAUGAAAAAAACUUUAGUAAAAGAUUUUUGAGUACUUGGAAAAAGAGGUAGCAGGUUAGCAGGUACAUGAUAUAAGAAGGAUUGAUUCACUAAGAGAAAAGUCUCCACGAGUUUUUGUUAGGUUUUUGAUUGUCAAGUUUGAUUUCAGGGGUUUUGUCUCAUAAAUCAAGAAUUCUAUACAUAUACAUAAUUCUGAUUUCUUGCAGACAUUUGACAACACUUUUUUAUGACAUGCUUGCAGAAAAGAUGAAAGAAUAUGUUCUGGAUAAUAGAAUUGUGAAAAUGUGAGUAAAGAAUGCAUUGGUUUGCCAGGAUUGGUGGCUCACAUCUAUCAUCCCAGCACUUGGGAGGCCAAGGUGGGUGGAUCACUUGAGUCCAGGAGUUUAAGACCAGCCUGGGCAACAUAGUGAGACCUCAUCUGUGCAAAAAAAUAAACAAAAUUAGCCAGGCAUUUGUGGCACAUGCCUGUAGUGCUAGCUACUUGAGAGGCUGAGGUUGGAGGAUUGCAUGAGCCCAGGAGGUUAAGGUUGUAGUGAGCUGAGAUCACACCACUGCAUUCCAACCUGGGCAACAGAGUGAGACUCUGUCUCAAAAAAAAAAAAAAAAAAGAAUGGGUUAAUUGUGCAUCAUUAACUGGAAAUGUAGCUUUAGUGGAAUACCACAAGACUUUGACUGCAUCCUGUUGUCAAAAUACCAUACUCUAUAGAAAAGUUUUAAUAAUGGCAGUUCAUUAAGACUGUACUAUUUGUCAGAUAUGUAAAUAGAAUACCUCUUUUAAUUGUUGGAAUCAACUUACCAGGCUGGAAUUAUUACCCUAUUUUAUAGAUGAGAAAACAGUCAUUUCCAAGUGCCAUACUGAUAAUGCUGAGAGGUUAAGAAGUGUAUCAGUGUUACAGAGCUAAUACAUGGCAGAACUGGAAUUCAGAACCAAUUCCAUCUGAUUUCAGAACUCACUAAUGACUCUAUGGGAUCAUUAGAAAUUCUCAGCCCCAGUUUUCAGGUAAAGAAAAAGAGGCUUGGUGAGUAUGAAAUUUGCCUGUGAUUACAGAGCUAGUAAAAUCAAAACCAGAACUUGAAUUCAGUUCUUUUGAUUCCAGGUCCAGUGUUCUUCAUAAAGAUAUGAACAAGUAGAAUAAUAGGUUAAAACAUAAAACAAUAAUAAUGAUGAUGAUAGGGCUAAAAUUUAAAUCUUUCAUUUAGAUUAAAAAUUAUUUUGGGAAAUACAUAAUUAACAUCUGACUUACCAAGAAUUUCUGUAAAGAAAACUAAGGCAGUAGUCCUCAAAGUGUGGUCCCUUGACUAGAAAUGUCAACAUCAUAUGGCAAAUGCCAAACCUUGUGCUUUACUCAGAGCAAUUAAAUCAGAAACUUGGUAGAAGGGAUUGGGGAGAGACAUGGUAGACUUCAUUUUAACAAGUCCACUAAGUGAUUCUGAGGCAUACCAAAUUGUAGAUCUACCAAGCUAAGGAAUUUAGUUGAAAAGCAGUCAUCAAAAGCAAAAGUGAGAA
rnacentral:lncRNA from 10 species